rnacentral:misc_RNA from 1 species
UGCAUGGAUAAAAAAAUAGAAAGAGUAGGACUGACUGACAGAAAAAAAAGAAGAAAUCCACGGACUCCCAGCACUGCAUUUCAUUGACAUUGCGUGUAUGUGUUGUGUAUCCCUUCAGCCUUGAGUUUCACUUCACUUUCAAUUAACGCCACGUAUCUCUCCUUGCAUUGCAUUUCCCUCUCUCUUCGCCAAAACCAUGUCUCCUCCGUUGUCCUCCAUCAAACCCCAAGACUAUGCUCACAGCCCCGUUCACUACGCCGUCGCUUUAGGUGAUCACACUACUCUUUCUAGACUCGUUUCUGCUCUCCCUCGCCUCGCUGAUCCUUCUCAAAUCCACACCGACGCUGAUUCUAUCAUCCAGGAGCGACUUGCUGAUCAGAUCUCUGCUGUUCUCGACCGCCGCGAUGUUCCCUUCCGUGAGACACCUCUUCAUCUUUCUGUUAGGUUAAAUGACUCCUUUGCUGCCCGUACUCUUGCUGCUGCUGGCGCUGAUGUUUCGCUUCAAAACUCUGCUGGUUGGAAUCCUCUUCAGGAGGCUUUGUGUCGCCGGAACUCUGAAAUUGCAUCCAUUUUACUUCGUCUCCACCAUCGCUCUGCUUGGGCUAAGUGGCGCCGACGCCUGCCGCGUGUCAUUGCUGUGCUUCGCAGAAUGCGGGAUUUUUACAUGGAAAUUUCCUUCCACUUUGAGAGCUCUGUCAUUCCUUUCGUCGGAAAAAUUGCUCCUUCCGACACCUACAAGAUCUGGAAGCGAGAUGGAAAUCUCCGAGCGGAUACUUCACUAGCCGGCUUUGACGGCUUGAAGAUCCAGCGCGCAGACCAGAGCUUCCUCUUUCUCGGUGAUGGUGACCAAAUCCACAACAUUCCUUCAGGUUCUUUGCUUGUGCUGAACCGUGACGAUCGCAAAAUCUUCGACGCGUUUGAAAAUGCGGGAGCUCCGAUGAGUGAGUCUGACAUUGCGGGAUUCUGCUCCCAGACCAGCGUUUAUCGGCCUGGAAUGGACGUCACAAAGGCUGAACUGGUUGGCAGGACAAACUGGAGAAGACAAGAGAAGACAGAAUCCGUAGGAGAAUGGAAGGCUAAAGUCUAUGAAGUGCACAAUGUGGUUUUCAGUUUCCGGUCGCGCAAAGUUGCUCAUAGCGAAAACGAAGUCGCUGGGAGCGAGCAAGUCUUGCCUUUAGAGCUCGACGAAGAUGACGACGGAUUUUUAGUCGCGGAGAAUCCUAAUUUUGGGUUUAACAAUGAUAGGAGGAGGCACAGUAGUUUUGUGAGAGAGGAGAGAGAGUGGGUGACGGUGGGGAGGAAAAGUGUGGACAUAAUCCCGUCGUCAUCGUCGGCAAUGAUAGCGCCACAAAGAAGAUCGGCAGUUACGAUAGCGCCGGCGCCGCAGACGAAAGAGAAGGAAUACGUGAGGAGUCUGAGACCGUCAGUUUGGUUAACGGAACAUUUUCCCUUAAAGACAGAGGAGUUACUGCCAUUACUUGAUAUUUUGGCCAACAAAGUGAAGGCCGUGAGGAGGAUGCGGGAGUUGCUGACCACCAAAUUCCCGGCGGGGACGUUUCCGGUUAAGGUAAUUUUUUUUUGGUCAAAUCCGGUUAAGGUAAUUGUAUCAUUGAAAAUUAUGCAAUUAUUUUCCGGGCCCACAGUAUCGUAAUUGGGAGUGGGACCCUUUGCUUUUACGUCUUUUGAUGGUUUAUACAAGCAACGAACAAAACAAUGCGGUGUCUCCGACGAUUGGGAUUAGUGGAGAAGAAGCUUUUGUGGGGACCGCUGUUUGUGGUCGGUCUCUUUAAUCCUGUGGGACCCAAACCUUCCGAGGUUAGCAUGGUUUGGGCCACACUCUGGUUGCUUUAGUACCCCUCUGAAUCCUGUUUUUUCUGCAGAAAGUAGAAAGUAGAAAAUAAUCAAUGUGUUUUCUUUGUUGAAUUGACUUGGUCGUAAACUGUGUGAUUAACGUUGAUGAUUGGUUGUUUGUUUGGCUUGCUUUGGUGGGGCAGGUGGCAAUUCCGGUGGUCCCUACAGUGAGAGUAGUGAUAACAUUCACAAAGUUUGUUGAGCUACAACCAACUGAACAAUUCUACACACCACUUUCAAGUCCUAGACAUUUUGUUCACGGAGGAAGAGUAGCAUCAUCAUCAGAGGAUGAUCAGAAAUCAGAUACCCAUUAUUCAUUGCUGCCGUCCACCUCGUCAUCGAUCUCAACAGGGUGGCUGAGGCGAAACAACAGCCAUUCAGCUAGCAAGCAGCAUCAGCGUUGUCCUCCUCCUUCAAUGGGGCACCAAGAAGCGGAUCCAUUUGCUAUACCUAGUGGAUAUACGUGGACGAAUGCUGAUGAUAAGUCGAGCAAAAUGAAGAAAUCUAAGUCAGUAAGGAAAUCUAAGUAAUUGAUCGUAUUCAGGAAGAUGGUGAAAAACUAAAGGGAGGAAACGAGAUUCAAGUAAGGGAAAGAAAGAAAGAAGGAAAAUGAUAACCUUGGUUGGUCAUGGAUCACUUUGUAUUACUCCACGUGUUUUGGGCUUGCAAAAGUAUAGUGGUAGAAUGUAGAUAUACCAUCUGGCUUAGUGCUUAUUCAAAUCAUGGAUUGGUCUAUGAGAUUCUGGCAACAUUAUGAUUAGAAGGUGACUGGGUUGACUUACCAAUUUGUUGCACACAAUUUUGUUGAUUUUUAAUAUAUGCUUCUCUAAGUAAUCAGAUAAUAUAAUGCUUCUACUGGCAGCUUCAUUUGGCCAUACCCAGAUGUUCUUAAUUCAAACUAAGGCGCCAAUACCCAUAUAUCCUUGGUUAUACCAUUCCUUGUUAUUGAGUUGCCUGUUCUCCUCUUCUCUGCUGUUUGUUACACUAGUAUUUUAUUUUUCAUUUGUCUAAGAAAAACAGCAAAAUUGGAUUUCGUUGUAUUUUAACAUUUUGUGAAUUUCAGUUGUCUUUCAAAUUUCAGUGCAUUUCAGAUUAAUUCCAUCACUACCCCUCUCUUUAUUCUGUCACCAUCCUUCCCUUCACCUUGGUUCUUGUAGCUUUCUUGUUUUAAAGGUAUGCACAUUUGAGGAAACUGAAAUGAUUUUUCUAGUUUUCUAGCAAAGGUAAGAUGCAUGAAGAAAGGAACAGGCAGGUAGUAGUGACACAAAGGAAUGAAAAUGUACUUCAUUAAUGGCAUUGAUAAGGGUCUGAACUUCAGCCCCACU